UGUGUCAUGGGCUGUAGUAAAAGAUGGCCGAGCAGACCUGUGUUACUUAAAGUUAAAUGAUUACAAGCUUGCUUUGCUUUUUAUACACUGAGAUUUGUGCCACGGAUCAUAUCCAAAC